rnacentral:rRNA from 1 species
GACUUUGGAAGGGUUGUAUUUAUUAGAUUAAAAACCAAUGCCCUCUGGGCUCACUGGUGAAUCAUGAUAACUUCGCGAAUCGCAUGGCCUUGUGCCGGCGAUGGCUCAUUCAAAUUUCUUCCCUAUCAACUUUCGAUGUUUGGGUAGUGGCCAAACAUGGUUGCAACGGGUAACGGAGGGUUAGGGCUCGACCCCGGAGAAGGAGCCUGAGAAACGGCUACUACAUCCAAGGAAGGCAGCAGGCGCGCAAAUUACCCAAUCCCGAUACGGGGAGGUAGUGACAAUAAAUACUGAUACAGGGCUCUUUUGGGUCUUGUAAUUGGAAUGAGUACAAUUUAAAUCCCUUAACGAGGAACAAUUAGAGGGCAAGUCUGGUGCCAGCAGCCGCGGUAAUUCCAGCUCUAAUAGCGUAUAUUAAAGUUGUUGUGGUUAAAAAGCUCGUAGUUGAACCUUGGGCCUGGCUGGCGGGUCCGCCUCACCGCGUGUACUUCGCCGGCCGGGCCUUUCCCUCUGUGGAACCCUAUGCCCUUCACUGGGUGUGGCGGGGAAACAGGACUUUUACUUUGAAAAAAUUAGAGUGCUCCAGGCAGGCCUAUGCUCGAAUAUAUUAGCAUGGAAUAAUAAAAUAGGACGUGUGGUUCUAUUUUGUUGGUUUCUAGGACCGCCGUAAUGAUUAAUAGGGACAGCCGGGGGCAUCAGUAUUCAAUUGUCAGAGGUGAAAUUCUUGGAUUUAUUGAAGACUAACUACUGCGAAAGCAUUUGCCAAGAAUGUUUUCAUUAAUCAGGAACGAAAGUUAGGGGAUCGAAGACGAUCAGAUACCGUCGUAGUCUUAACCAUAAACUAUGCCGACUAGGGAUCGGANNGAUGUUAUUACUUGACUCGUUCGGCCACCUUACGAGAAAUCAAA